GCCAGCUUGAUGUAGUGGAUUGAGCAUUAGACUGUGAUUCUGGAGACCAGGGUUCAAAUCCCUACUCAGCCA